CAUUAUGCACAAAGAGAAAGACAGCAAAAGACUUGUUCUUUGCUGCAAAUACAGUCAUUCUUCCCGGUUUUACGAUACUCGUCAAUUCUCAUGGUUUUGGACAUUUGGGUGGCUGAGUGCGUUUAAGUCUGUUACGCUAUUAUAACUUAUUGAAGAAUUUAUCGUAUAAUUAACAACACAGGAUGGCCCUGGUUGUGUCCAAUGAGAUACUGCCAGACUUGGAGGUGGAGGGGCCCUUCUUAUUAGAUGAAGAACAGCAAAACUGUAAUCUUGCAGCUUCUCACCAGUCUGAAGAGACCAUUUCUCGUUCUAAUCCUUCAUUCUAUAGUGUUAAUAGUAUAUGGCUUGGGAAGCACACAGCGAUGGAAUCUGUGACAUAAUGCUUCCGAAAAUUUGAAACUCACCUCGCUAUUGGUUGAAUCGUUAUGCAAGAAAGGAAUAGGAAGAUCUUUUUGCGAUAAAGUGUUCUGAAAGAUAAGAAGAUAGGCCCAUGAUGAGCAAUUCUCGACAUAUGCUUAGCGGAUUGGACAUGACUGGGUAUCUAGCUGAACAUAACAAGGCAUCUCGGGUUACUGCACCUCGAAAUUCUUUAUAUCAAAUGGCAGGAAAAGACGAAUCCCCAGGGGAUAUGAGGAAUCCAGAAUCCAGGCUGCUUUUCAAGGAAUGUCUGCUCUUCUGCUUCACCCCCCGCAAAAUUACUGGCCCGAGCUUCAGGUAAACCGCGAUUCCAUUGUUCUGAACCAAGAAUUUCUUCAACCUUAGAUAUGGAGACAGCAAGUAUAUAAAAUCUUACGCCACAGGACUGCCAACCUGCAAGCAUCUAUCCCAAACUUUGCAGAUAAAGUAGGAUUUGCUUCUUGCAAAACCUUUGUGCCCAGAUACUGAAUUCGCCUUAUGAGAAUGGUGACGUGAAACUUUCAUGCAUAAAGUUGAAGCAACUUGGCUAAUUACUAUGGCCAAGAUUGCAAGAAUCUUUAGCUUAGAUGGUUGUAUGAACAGGGUUUUCUUAUGUUCUUGGAUUACUAGGCUAUCCUAGGGAAUGGGUUUGUGUUAAUAUGGUUCUUAAUUUGUUCAUUACACAAAGUUAUGAACUUGGGGAAGAAGAUGGAUUUGUCGGAGGAUGCUAAA